rnacentral:rRNA from 1 species
GACGAACGCUGGCGGCGUGCCUAAUACAUGCAAGUCGAACGCAGUGGGGACGGGUGAGUAACACGUGGGUAACCUCCAAUCAGAGGGGAUAACACUUGGAAACAGGUGCUAAACCGAUAAUGCUUUCUUUCCCCUCUGUGCAUGAGCAAGUUGGUGAGGUAACGGCUCCACACGGCCACGAUGCAUAGCCGCACUGAGAGGGUGUUCGGCCACACUGUGACUUAGACACGGCCCCGACUCGUACGGGAGGCAGCAGUAGGGAAUCUUCGGCAAUGGACGAAAGUCUGACCGAGCAACGCCGCGUGAGUGAAGACGGUUUUCGGAUCGUAAAACUCUGUUGUUAGAGAAGAGGGAGAGAAAAAGAAAGCCACGGCUAACUACGUGCCAGCAGCCGCGGUAAUUA